GAUGAACGCUGGCGGCGUGCCUAAUACAUGCAAGUCGAGCGAACGGACGAGAAGCUUGCUUCUCCGAUGUUAGCGGCGGACGGGUGAGUAACACGUGGAUAACCUACCUAUAAGACUGGGAUAACUUCGGGAAACCGGAGCUAAUACCGGAUAAUAUUUUGAACCGCAUGGUUCAAAAGUGAAAGACGGUCUUGCUGUCACUUAUAGAUGGAUCCGCGCUGCAUUAGCUAGUUGGUAAGGUAACGGCUUACCAAGGCAACGAUGCAUAGCCGACCUGAGAGGGUGAUCGGCCACACUGGAACUGAGACACGGUCCAGACUCCUACGGGAGGCAGCAGUAGGGAAUCUUCCGCAAUGGGCGAAAGCCUGACGGAGCAACGCCGCGUGAGUGAUGAAGGUCUUCGGAUCGUAAAACUCUGUUAUUAGGGAAGAACAUAUGUGUAAGUAACUGUGCACAUCUUGACGGUACCUAAUCAGAAAGCCACGGCUAACUACGUGCCAGCAGCCGCGGUAAUACGUAGGUGGCAAGCGUUAUCCGGAAUUAUUGGGCGUAAAGCGCGCGUAGGCGGUUUUUUAAGUCUGAUGUGAAAGCCCACGGCUCAACCGUGGAGGGUCAUUGGAAACUGGAAAACUUGAGUGCAGAAGAGGAAAGUGGAAUUCCAUGUGUAGCGGUGAAAUGCGCAGAGAUAUGGAGGAACACCAGUGGCGAAGGCGACUUUCUGGUCUGUAACUGACGCUGAUGUGCGAAAGCGUGGGGAUCAAACAGGAUUAGAUACCCUGGUAGUCCACGCCGUAAACGAUGAGUGCUAAGUGUUAGGGGGUUUCCGCCCCUUAGUGCUGCAGCUAACGCAUUAAGCACUCCGCCUGGGGAGUACGACCGCAAGGUUGAAACUCAAAGGAAUUGACGGGGACCCGCACAAGCGGUGGAGCAUGUGGUUUAAUUCGAAGCAACGCGAAGAACCUUACCAAAUCUUGACAUCCUUUGACAACUCUAGAGAUAGAGCUUUCCCCUUCGGGGGACAAAGUGACAGGUGGUGCAUGGUUGUCGUCAGCUCGUGCCGUGAGAUGUUGGGUUAAGUCCCGCAACGAGCGCAACCCUUAAGCUUAGUUGCCAUCAUUAAGUUGGGCACUCUAAGUUGACUGCCGGUGACAAACCGGAGGAAGGUGGGGAUGACGUCAAAUCAUCAUGCCCCUUAUGAUUUGGGCUACACACGUGCUACAAUGGACAAUACAAAGGGCAGCGAAACCGCGAGGUCAAGCAAAUCCCAUAAAGUUGUUCUCAGUUCGGAUUGUAGUCUGCAACUCGACUACAUGAAGCUGGAAUCGCUAGUAAUCGUAGAUCAGCAUGCUACGGUGAAUACGUUCCCGGGUCU
rnacentral:rRNA from 1 species